ensembl:lncRNA
GAAAAGUAAACUGUGAUGGCUGGGGUGGUACAGGCCAGCCCUGUCUGAGAGUUGAUCUGCAGAUAAAGCCACAUUGGGAAUUCCCUGAACUAUGAGCCCACAGAAACUGCUGUCCUGGAAAAAUGGAGGGAAGUGUAUUAUCAACAUGAGUUAGGUUGUACGCUGGAGGCAAGAACAUCCCCUCCUUAAAAAUGCUACCUGGCUUAAAAUGUCAGGUCCUUUUCCCAGAGGUAACCAGAUCCCCUUCCUCCUGCCUGCCACAUUUUCUUGGUUUAAGACAAUUUAAAUAAUUGGACAUUCUAAAAUUAGUUACUUCCCCUUAGUUCCAACCAAUCCCUUUCCAUCAAUAAAGAAACAGUAGAUACAAAUGGAAAAAAUAAGUUUACUGACAAGUGAAACCGCAACAGGCGAAAAAUAGCUGUGAAUAAUCACUAAAUACAAAAUUGCUAAAUCUCACAAAUUCUACAGGAACAAAAGACACCCAAACUGGUGGGGUACUUCCCCCUACCAAGAUAGCAGCCCCCACUGCCGACUGCAUAUAAGGAGACAAAGGGAAAACGGCGUCAGACCCAAACAUUUGAAGGGAUUGGUACCUCCUAACUGUACCACAAUUGCUGUUCUGGCUGUGCUGCUGGGCUGUAAACAGACAGUAAUGAAGUUUUUGGACACAGAUGGAUAUGGAAUACAAUAGUAUUUUGGGUUACCUAGGACACAUGUACCCUUGGGAGAAUGUUUGCCCAUUGGGCUUCCAACCUUAAGCACAGUCCUCUUGCCAGUUAUGAAAAGCUGGUGAGAUUUACGUAGUUUUUGGUGGAGAUCGUCACUUCAGACUAAACAUACCAAGUACUGGCCAUCCCCAUGACAUGCUCCCAUGUGGUGUUCCUUCCUGGAUACUUUCUGGGACCCAUGCUCAGUCCAGGGAUCCAGCUCGCUCCAGGGCCACCUCAUGAACAGCCUCUCCAGAGAGGGCACUUCAGCAUGGUUUUGAGCAGUGGCACAAGAAGGCUGUCCACCACUCCCACCACAAAAUAAAAAGAAGCAUCCAGAAGCCAGCAGCUGCCAUCUGAAGAGCCAUGCAACCAUCACAGGGAAUCAACUUUCGUGACUCAGUCUUACUGAAAAGAUGAAAUUAACUAUCUCAAAAUCAAAACAAUUAAGUAAAAUAAUUUUUUCUCAUCACCACCUCACCAAAACAUUACCAAAUGUGAACAUGGAUUGUAUUCUGCCCUCUCUGGGUACUUUGUGACAAGCUUGACUGACUCAUGUGGAGCAAUCCAAGAGGAUAUUUUCAUCUCCGCUAAUCUGCUUUUCCAUUUUGCUGGUUACCACCUGACAAAAGCGAGCACAAACAAUGUUUCAAACUGCAUGGCAGAUUAUUGUAAAGAACUGUUAAGUUUGGGAUUUAUUUCUAUUGUGUAUUGUAUUGUGUAUUGUCUUUGUAUUGUGGUUGUGUUUGGGUUUUUUUGUCCAAAAUGGUAACCCUUGGGAGAGGGACAGAUUAGGCAGGAGGGCAAGGUAAUGUCUCUCGGUAUGAAAAGACAGACAUUUUCUGGAGACACUGUUCUGCAUUACAUUCUCUUGCACCUCAACUUGAUGGCAUGGUAGGUUGGAUUUCAGAGACUCCUGUUCAUCCUGCUACUGCCAUUGCUAAACCAUAAAGUUAUGAAUACAGAUUCCCUCAACAGGAGGAGUGGCAAGUGCAGGAAACUUUGAGAAGUCUGGUGUAUUCAAAAUCUCAAGGAAGGGCAAAGGACACUGCAGGAUUCAACAUGUUGGACAACUAAGGAAGACGAAGAUUUCAAAGCACUUUUGAACUGUAGUAGUUAAUCAAUACUUUAGAGAAAGUAAAUCUGUGCUAAAGAUUCAGCAUUUUAAAUUAAAUACAAGGAGUUCUGUAGUAGAACCAGCUGAGGUCAAAGAGUGUUCUUAAUCUCUCAAGGUUAAAUAAGGAAUUUCAGAAAAAUCAAUCUGUCCAUAUCUUUCAUGUAAAAAAAAUCAACUAAUGGACAUUUUGCAUCUAUUUAAAAAAUAAAAAUCUUUUAGAUAUUCA